rnacentral:rRNA from 1 species
UGAGGAAUAUUGGUCAAUGGCCGGAAGGCUGAACCAGCCAAGUCGCGUGAGGGAAUAAGGCCCUACGGUCGUAAACCUCUUUUGUCAGGGAGCAAGGCCGCCCACGUGUGGACGGAAGGAGAGUACCUGGAGAAAAGCAUCGGCUAACUCCGUGCCAG